UCACAGUGAACCGGUCUCUUUU
rnacentral:ncRNA from 14 species